rnacentral:rRNA from 1 species
ACUCAAAUGAAUUGACGGGGGCCCGCACAAGCGGCGGAGCAUGCGGAUUAAUUCGAUGCAACGCGAAGAACCUUACCUGGGUUUGACAUACCGAGAAAUCCUCCAGAGAUGGGGGGUCCGUAAGGGUUCGGUACAGGUGGUGCAUGGCUGUCGUCAGCUCGUGUCGUGAGAUGUUGGGUUAAGUCCCGCAACGAGCGCAACCCUCGUUCCAUGUUGCCAGCAGCACGCGGUUCGCCUUCGGGUGGGACGGUGGCUGGGGACUCAUGGGAGACUGCCGGGGUCAACUCGGAGGAAGGUGGGGAUGACGUCAAGUCAUCAUGCCCCUUAUGUCCAGGGCUUCACGCAUGCUACAAUGGCCGGUACAAAGGGCUGCGAUCCCGUGAGGGGGAGCGAAUCCCAAAAAGCCGGUCUCAGUUCGGAUUGGGGUCUGCAACUCGACCCCAUGAAGUCGGAGUCGCUAGUAAUCGCAGAUCAGCAACGCUGCGGUGAAUACGUUCCCGGGCCUUGUACACACCGCCCGU